rnacentral:rRNA from 1 species
CCUACGGGUGGCAGCAGUGGGGAAUAUUGCACAAUGGGCGCAAGCCUGAUGCAGCCAUGCCGCGUGUGUGAAGAAGGCCUUCGGGUUGUAAAGCACUUUCAGCGGGGAGGAAGGCGGUGAGGUUAAUAACCUCAUCGAUUGACGUUACCCGCAGAAGAAGCACCGGCUAACUCCGUGCCAGCAGCCGCGGUAAUACGGAGGGUGCAAGCGUUAAUCGGAAUUACUGGGCGUAAAGCGCACGCAGGCGGUCUGUCAAGUCGGAUGUGAAAUCCCCGGGCUCAACCUGGGAACUGCAUUCGAAACUGGCAGGCUAGAGUCUUGUAGAGGGGGGUAGAAUUCCAGGUGUAGCGGUGAAAUGCGUAGAGAUCCGGAGGAAUACCGGUGGCGAAGGCGGCCCCCUGGACAAAGACUGACGCUCAGGUGCGAAAGCGUGGGGAGCAAACAGGAUUAGAUACCCGGGUAGUC